rnacentral:rRNA from 1 species
UACGGAGGAUCCAAGCGUUAUCCGGAUUAUUGGGUUUAAAGGGUGCGUAGGCGGCUUAUUAAGUCAGGGGUGAAAGACGGUGGCUCAACCAUCGCAGUGCCUUUGAUACUGAUGAGCUUGAAUGAACUAGAGGUAGGCGGAAUGUGACAAGUAGCGGUGAAAUGCAUAGAUAUGUCACAGAACACCGAUUGCGAAGGCAGCUUACUAUGGUUUUAUUGACGCUGAGGCACGAAAGCGUGGGGAGUCAAACAGG